UAAGGAAUCUUUCGCAAUGGGGGAAACCCCGACGAAGCGACAUCGCGUGAUUGAUGAAGGCCGUAAGGUCGUAAAGAUCUUUUCUGAGGGAAUAAUUCUGAAGGUACCUCAGGAAUAAGCACCGGCUAACUCCGUGCCAGCAGCCGCGGUAAUACGGAGGGUGCAAGCGUUAUCCGGAAUCAUUGGGCGUAAAGCGUCCGCAGGUUGUUUGUUAAGUUGGAUAUUAAAUCUUGAAGCCCAACUUCAAGGCUGUGUCCAAAACUGGCAAGCUAGAACAUCUCAGAGGUACAUGGAAUUCUGUGUGUAGGGGUGAAAUCCGUAGAUACACAGAGGAACACCAAAAGCGAAGGCAAUGUACUGGGAGAUUGUUGACACUCAUGGACGAAAGCGUGGGGAGCGAACGGG
rnacentral:rRNA from 1 species